rnacentral:misc_RNA from 1 species
CGCCGCGGUAAUUCCAGCUCCAAUAGCGUAUAUUAAAGUUGUUGCAGUUAAAAAGCUCGUAGUUGAAUUUCGAGAUCAAAUUGUUGGUCGUGCCUCGGUACGUACUGGCAUUAUUGAUUUCUCCCUUCUGAAGAACCUUGAUGUCAUUAAUUUGGUGUCUUGGGGAAUCAGGACCGUUACUUUGAAAAAAUUAGAGUGUUUAAAGCAGGCUCACGCUUGAAUACAUUAGCAUGGAAUAAUGAAAUAGGACGUUUGAUUCUAUUUUGUUGGUUUCUAGGAUCGACGUAAUGAUUAAUAGGGAUAGUUGGGGGCAUUAGUAUUCAAUUGUCAGAGGUGAAAUUCUUGGAUUUAUUGAAGACUAACUACUGCGAAAGCAUUUGCCAAGGAUGUUUUCAUUAAUCAAGAACGAAAGUUAGGGGAUCGAAGACGAUCAGAUACCGUCGUAGUCUUAACCAUAAACUAUGCCGACUAGGGAUCGGAUGAUGUUAAUUUUUUAAUGACUCAUUCGGCGCCUUAC